rnacentral:rRNA from 1 species
AGUGAACGCUGGCGGUAGGCCUAACACAUGCAAGUCGAACGGCAGCACAGUAAGAGCUUGCUCUUACGGGUGGCGAGUGGCGGACGGGUGAGGAAUACAUCGGAAUCUACUUUUUCGUGGGGGAUAACGUAGGGAAACUUACGCUAAUACCGCAUACGACCUACGGGUGGAAGCAGGGGAUCUUCGGACCUUGCGCGAUUGAAUGAGCCGAUGUCGGAUUAGCUAGUUGGCGGGGUAAAGGCCCACCAAGGCGACGAUCCGUAGCUGGUCUGAGAGGAUGAUAACCCAACUUGAACUGAGACACGGUCCAGACUCCUACGGGAGGCAGCAGUGGGGAAUAUUGGACAAUGGGCGCAAGCCUGAUCCAGCCAUACCGCGUGGGUGAAGAAGGCCUUCGGGUUGUAAAGCCCUUUUGUUGGGAAAGAAAAGCAGCAGGUUAAUACCCCGCUGUUCUGACGGUACCCAAAGAAUAAGCACCGGCUAACUUCGUG